CAAGUAGGAUUGUACAAGUCUUCUGAUGACGAUAGCUUGAUCGCUUCUGCCAAUGAUGAUGGCUAAGUUCUAUUCUCUCUACAUGAUAAAGCUUAGGUAAAGAGGUACAGGUCUUCUAAUGACGAUAGCUAACUCUAUUCUGCUCUGUCUACCAUCUCGGUUACAAGUCCUAAAGGAGCAGACAGUAGCUCGAACAUAUGAACAUACAAUCAGAUGACAUAGUUACAUACGAACACACAAUCAGAUGACAUAGUUACUAAUCACGUAGGCCGCUUGAGCUAUAGGUCACGGUGUUUGUCUCAAGCAGGAAGCUUGGACUAAAGUUUAUAAACAAUUGAAUGACUACAGGUGACGGCAUGUUAUCUUAGCCUACUUUUAUUGUAUACGUCAUCUUUAGCGUCUCUAGUCUGAUCACAUUCCUGCAAGCAAAUCUGGUUGACCUCUUUAGUUUUAGUCUUUUAUAUAUAUGGAAUAACAUUCCAUAUUUUUAUUAUGUAAACACUUACAUAUAUAUAUAUAUAUAUAUAUAUAUAUAUAUAUAUAUAUAUAUAUAUAUAUAUAUAUAUAUAUAUAUA